rnacentral:rRNA from 1 species
UACUCCUACGGGAGGCAGCAGUGGGGAAUAUUGGACAAUGGACCGAGAGUCUGAUCCAGCAAUUCUGUGUGCACGAUGAAGUUUUUCGGAAUGUAAAGUGCUUUCAGUUGGGAAGAAACAAAUGACGGUACCAACAGAAGAAGUGACGGCUAAAUACGUGCCAGCAGCCGCGGUGAUACGUAUGUCACGAGCGUUAUCCGGAUUUAUUGGGCGUAAAGCGCGUCUAGGUGGUUAUGUAAGUCUGAUGUGAAAAUGCAGGGCUCAACUCUGUAUUGCGUUGGAAACUGUAUAACUAGAGUACUGGAGAGGUAAGCGGAACUACAAGUGUAGAGGUGAAAUUCGUAGAUAUUUGUAGGAAUGCCGAUGGGGAAGCCAGCUUACUGGACAGAUACUGACGCUGAAGCGCGAAAGCGUGGGUAGCAAACAGGAUUAGAUACCCUGGUAGUCCACGCCGUAAACGAUGAUUACUAGGUGUUGGGGGUCGAACCUCAGCGCCCAAGCAAACGCGAUAAGUAAUCCGCCUGGGGAGUACGUACGCAAGUAUGAAACUCAAAGGAAUUGACGGA